rnacentral:rRNA from 1 species
GUCCAGACUCCUACGGGAGGCAGCAGUGGGGAAUAUUGCACAAUGGGGGAAACCCUGAUGCAGCGACGCCGCGUGAGCGAUGAAGUAUUUCGGUAUGUAAAGCUCUCUCAGCAGGGAAGAAGAUGACGGUACCUGACUAAGAAGCCCCGGCUAACUACGUGCCAGCAGCCGCGGUAAUACGUAGGGGGCAAGCGUUAUCCGGAUUUACUGGGUGUAAAGGGAGCGUAGACGGCGGUGCAAGCCAGAUGUGAAAGCCCGGGGCUCAACCCCGGGACUGCAUUUGGAACUGUAUGGCUGGAGUGUCGGAGAGGCAGGCGGAAUUCCUAGUGUAGCGGUGAAAUGCGUAGAUAUUAGGAGGAACACCAGUGGCGAAGGCGGCCUGCUGGACGGUGUACUGACGCUGAGGCUCGAAAGCGUGGGGAGCAAACAGGAUUAGAUACCCCCGUA